rnacentral:rRNA from 1 species
AGUUUGAUCCUGGCUCAGGAUGAACGCUAGCGGCAGGCUUAAUACAUGCAAGUCGAGGGGCAACGGGGGUAGCAAUACCUGCUGGCGACCGGCAAACGGGUGCGGAACACGUACAGAACCUUCCUUUAAGUGGGGAAUAGCCCGGAAAAAUCCGGAUUAAUACCCCGUAACAUUAUGAGGUGGCAUCACCAUAUAAUUAUAUAUUUAUCGCUUAAAGAUGGCUGUGCGGCUGAUUAGGUAGUUGGUGUAGGUAACGGCUCACCAAGCCUGCGAUCAGUAACUGGUGUGAGAGCACGACCAGUCACACGGGCACUGAGACACGGGCCCGACUCCUACGGGAGGCAGCAGUAGGGAAUAUUGGUCAAUGGACGAAAGUCUGAACCAGCCAUGCCGCGUGAAGGAUGAAGGUCCUCUGGAUUGUAAUCUUCUUUUAUAUGGGGCGAAACAUCCCGAUUCUUCGGGACUUGACGGUACCAUAAGAAUAAGCACCGGCUAACUCCGUGCCAGCAGCCGCGGUAAUACGGAGGGUGCAAGCGUUAUCCGGAUUCACUGGGUUUAAAGGGUGCGUAGGUGGGCUUGUAAGUCAGUGGUGAAAUCUCUGAGCUUAACUCAGAAACUGCCAUUGAUACUAUAUGUCUUGAAUCUUCUGGAGGUCAGCGGAUAUGUCAUGUAGCGGUGAAUGCUUAGAU